UCUGGUGAUACACUGGUUCCGCACAUUAA
rnacentral:piRNA from 1 species